rnacentral:lncRNA from 1 species
GUUUUCUCAAUUACGCUUCUCAAAUAAGCUUCCUAUCCCUGCUUUCUACAUAUAAACAUUUCUUUCAAAGAUACUUCCAAACAACAACAGCAAAGAGAUGAGAUGUAGGUGGUUUGGAGUUAAGAUGAAGGUAGAAUCGACGGGUCCAAGAUGAAGGGGAUAACAUUGGUAUUCUGACUGGGAUUGAUGGCUACCUGUUUUACACACAAAUUUUGAGAUUUGUUUUGAGGGUGGUAAGUUGAUUUAUUCUUUUCUUUUUCCUUGUGCUACAACUUCUAGGUUAUUUGAGCAUAUUACAGUUUUUUUUUUUUUUUUUUUGGGUUAAAGAUUUUUGGGACUCUGUAAUAAACUCUUUGUAGAAUUCUUCUUUGUUGGUUCUUGAUAGAUAAAUAAAUAUUGUAUCUAUUUUUAGAGUUUUAUUUCUCUAUGCACACUUGUGUCUGGUUGAAUUCCUUUGUUUUCUUAUUUUAUUUUAUUUUUUUGGAUUUUUUUGUGUGUGUGGUUAUAUGCUUAUUUUAAUGAAGACCAAAAACUGGGGCAAAGUCUCACUCAAAUGGAUUGUGAUUCUGUGCAUUUUCAGCUUUGUACUUGGCACACUUUUCAGCAACAGGUUCUUUAAUUUUUUUCAAUUUUUUAUUUAUCUUAUGUUUUUUCUUCGUAUUUCCUCUUCAUAUUUCACAACUUCAGGAAGAAUUUUUGUUUUUCACUUCUUUAUUUCAAUUGAAGAAUUUUGUGGUUACUGUGACUUCAGAAGAACCUUUUUCCCUCAUUGGAGAAAUAGCUUGUUGUUGUUGAUUAGUUAUAUCGACUUAAUUAUCAAAUUACGCCGGAUAUUCUUUAAGCAUGUUAUGAUGUUAUAAGUAAUCUAAAUUACCUAGAUUACUCUUUAUCCUCUUGUGAUCGAUUGUCUUGCUUUGACAAGUGAUAGUUGUUCUAUGAUGUGAAUAGCUUAAAACGACUUCACUAUGUCUGGUUCCAUUUACCUUCUAUUUCCAUAGUUAUUUUUUCCUCAAUAAUCUAUUAUUAAUAUAACAAGAACUUCUAAAAUUGGAAGGAAAGUAUUGUGAAGAUCUCUUUUUUUUUUUCCUUGUUUAUCAUAUUCCUUGAAUGAGACAAAUUAAUGUUAUUUCUUUGACUACAGGACAGAAGCGUGCUCAUUCAAUCACUAUCAACGAAUCUUGAUUUUCCUAGAAACAAAGUAAGCAUGUGAAGUACAUCAAUAUGUUUUCCAAUUAAUGUUGUACCAUAUGGCAUGUUCAUAUUGGAUGAUGUGAUGAACUUCAUUCAACUUUGGCAACUAAGAAUGUUGUUUGAAUUUUUCGUCUUAUUAUUUAGAGGGUGUGCAAGUACAUUAAACAUCAGUUGUACCGUAACAUAAUCAAUUUAUUUGAUAUUUUAUACCAAGAAUCUGGUGCUUCUGUCUUUAUUGAUUUAAUUAAUACGUGCAAUAGUAGUAAUACUCAUGGGAAUUAAAGUAUUUUAAAAUUUUGAAUGUAUGAGAUAUUAUGGUUUUUUAGAUUGAAGCCAUAUGUAUAAGAAUAAACAAAGACACAGAAAAAUAGAAAAAGAAAAAACGGUAGCAUCAUUCAAAUUACCACAAAUUGUCAUAUUCUCUUUGUUUUGUUACAAAUUACAGUUGAGUUUGUGUUGUUGAAGCUGUUACCUUCUUUUGGGUGUUGUUUUUGGUUCAACAGCAGACAAAUAAAACCCAUUGCUAUUUUAAUCAGGUAAAGCUCUCGAUUUAUUGUCUCUGUGUAUUUUUUUCUUUAAUUAGCUUGUAUAUACAAGUAAUUGGUUGUGUGCUCUCUUCAGUAACAUUAAUUGAUUCUCUUGUUAGAUUUCUAGGCAGGAAAUUCAUGAUUAUUUAUAAAAUUUAAAAAUAACUAAUCAAUUUUUUUUUUUUUUAUGUAGUUUUCAUUUGCAGUUUAUAAUUUUAUUUUCCAAUUAAUUUACGCAAAUACGCUCAUGAUCUUAUGCUUAUAGACGAAAAUCUAUAAUGAACUAAAUAAAUAUGUUUUCAAGUUAGAAUUUGAUGUAUUGCUGUAGUUUUAAUGGUGAUUGGUGUACUCUACGCUAUUUCGCGAGAUUAGAGAAAAUGGGAAAAGAGCAACUACGAAGGGUUUCACUAUAUAAAUGAUAAUUCAAUUAAAAAGACAAUAAUUUCUGUAUACAGAAAGAGCUUCUUAGAUUGAAUCAAUAGGGACAUGAAUUAUUUAGCUGCAGUGUCUUUAUUGGUGCAUAUUUAAAUAAAUUGGAAGAGAAACAACAACAUAUGCCACAUUAACUGAAAUAUACAAUUACCAUAAUAUCAAUUUCUUAGUUUUCCAAAGUCUACUACUUGUAACAAAUUAUCAUCACAUAGCAAAAGAAUUGGUUAAUAUUUAUUUCAUUUGAUUUCAGAAUGGUGCUGCGAAUAAUGUAUAUAAUAUUUAUAUAUCUUAAAUUGCUUUUGACACCAUUGAAUUUGAGACCUCAAUUUAUUUGAAGUGUAAUUCAUGAUUGACAGCAUGCUCAAACUUGAAAAUUCUAUCUUUAUUUACAACCAAAUAGUGACAUUAGAAGUUAACCCGUGCAGAUGAAGGUUUUCUUUUCCAUAACAUCAUGUACUUCAGCUGCAGAAAUAUACUAAUGAGCUAAAACUAAUUUAUGAUCCUCAUUUUCCUUUCAACUAACAAAUGCUUUCUUUUUGGUUGACACCAAGAAUAUUUCUCAUCUCAAUCCAUGAAUUGAACAGUUCAAUUUGCUGAGGAGAAGUUGAAUAAGGUAAUAAUCAAUUGUGCGAUAAUUUCUAAGUAUCUCAGAUUUAUAUCAAUUUUAGUCUUUCUCCACUAUUGUAGAACAAUGUGAAGUUGCUUCUCACAUUUUUAUUUUGACACUGGCAUUGAGUACAAUAUGAAUUUAUUAAAUGUUUCGAAGAAAGAAAUUUUGGUUCUUGACAGGGCAAAAGCAAGGGACUGUUUUCAUUGUUGAUCAAUUAAAAUUUUAAACGUUGACAGUUUGGUUUCAAAGUUUUUAACUGUAACCAUUCUAUACAUCAUUUUCUUAAGGAGUAUACAAAUGCUAUAGGAUUUAGAUAUUUACAUGAGAAAUGCACUAAUAAAAGGUUAAGCUAACAAAAAAUUUGAAGCAAGAACCUGAACAUUGAUCUUCUUGUUCAUUGAGUAUCGUCGAUGCUUUUUUCCCUUUGAACUUGGCAUAGAGUAUUUUGUUGGUCAUGCAGCAAGGGUUCUACUAUAGAUGAAUUGAAGAAGGAAAACAAUAUUCGGUAUUCUGUUGAAGAAUAGCAAGCUUAAAUGAAGAGUUUAUAUCUCAUGAAUCUCCAUCAUUUGGGUUUGAUUUCACAGUAAGAAAAUAGAGUAGAAGCUGCUUGAUUACAAUCAAGAAGCUGAAAGGUUUGGAGGUAUUGAAUUUUUCCUUUAGUUCUGUUUACACUUUAUGUUUGCAUAAUUUUCUUUGCAUUAAGUGGUAUGUCACUCUUAUUAAGAUCAUUCGAGGUUAUGCUUAUAAGGAAUUAUCAAAACUGUCACCUGAUCAACGGCAUGUUGCGUACACUAUGUAUGAUAGAUUUUGGUUCGCUAUCUAAUAGGCCCCAAGCUAAUUGGAUAGAUUGGUAUUGUUGGUUUUGCUAUAACGGCUGGAUUUGUUUCCAUUGGAUAGCUUGAGAUGAAAUUAAUGUUUGAUUGUUUUUCGAUUAUGUUGUAGCAUGCUUGGCUUGGGAUGACACUGGUUUGGGAGUGUAAGGCAAAAGCCCAUUGCAUUAUUAAGCAUCAUCAAGGGUGUCUUACUAUUUCAUUAAUUUUGGAAGUUGGUAAAUAGUAUAUACUUUCAUUCAACUUCCUAAGUAGUGAUUAAUUUUCCAUUGAUUCCACUAUUUUCUACAAGGCACGUGCUGGAAUCACAUAAGUUCGCUUUCCCUCAUUUAAUUUAACAAACAAAAGGAUAGUUCUAGCGUACAUAAAUGCAGCUGGAAAAUUGCAUCAAGUGAACGAAGGCACACCGGAGGUAAAAUCCAGCUGGUAAAAUGCUCAAACUUUGUAAUUGUUCUUAUGCUUGUGCCAUAAACUUCUUGUUAAUAAAUGUUCUCCAGCCACACACAUGACACUUGAUGGUCCCAUUUAUGCAAAAUGAAUACAUCACCCUCAACUUAAUAGAUCAAGUACUCAAAAUUCAC